rnacentral:rRNA from 1 species
AAUCAACGCCGGCGGCGUGCCUCAGACAUGCAAGUCGAACGAUUAAAGCUCUCUUCGGAGAGUGCAUAAAGUGGCGCACGGGUGAGUAACACGUAAGUAAUCUACCUUCGAGUGGGGAAUAACGUCCGGAACGGACGCUAAUACCGCAUAACGCAGCGGCAUCGCAAGAUGACAGUUGUUAAAGAUUUAUCGCUUGAAGAGGAGCUUGCGGCAGAUUAGCNGUUGGUAAGGUAACGGCUUACCAAGGCUACGAUCUGUAUCCGGUCUAAGAGGACGGUCGGACACACUGACACUGAAUAACGGGUC